GUUGUUAGGUGAUGUCUCUCUAUCUGUGGUUUACGACGUUGGGACAACGGCACUCUGAAGCAGUAGCAGGACAUGACGCCUCUGUCAGGAGAGGAGAGGAGAGGAGAGGAGAGGAGAGGAGAGGAGACGGGGUGUUCUCUAGGAGAGGAGAGGGGUGUUCUGGAGGACAGGAGAGGAGAAGAGAGGAGAGGAGCCGGGUUGUUCUCUAGGAGAGGAGAGGGGUGUUCUGGAGGACAGGAGAGGAGAGGACAGGAGAGGAGAGGAGAGGAGAGGAGAGGAGAGGAGAGGAGAGGAGAGGAGAGGAGAGGAGAGGAGAGGAGAGGGUUGUUCUCUAGGAGAGGAGAGGGGUGUUCUGGAGGAAAACCAGUGUGUAAUCUGGGGGGCCUGAAGGCAUGCUUCUGUUACCUGAGGCUGAGGUGUCGCAAGGUUUGUGUCUUUGAUCUACAGUGGAGUGGCAGGAAAGUGAGGACCAUGUCAGUUGCUGUUGGUUUGUCAUUGUCCUUUUAGAUUUUUGAAAGUUCUUAGAAUUCAUUCUAGGUUCUAAGAAUUUGUUGCAGAGAAGGGAAGAGGUAGGAUUUAAGGUAGAAUUUUAAGCAUAGUGUUUUCAGUGGAGCCUGGUCUGCAUAGACUCAGUCUAGAAAAGUGGAGUGACUGCCUGCAUGGCCUUCUUCCUAAGACCAGCCUGUGUGUGCCGGUACUUUGACACACAAACACAAACACUACGAGUGGAGACGAGGAGGAUUCUGGGAUGUGGACGAGACAGUGAAUCACAGAAAAGGCAGGUACCCACAGGACAGUUCCAGCCCAGCCCUGCGGACCGUCAGUGGGGAUUGACAGACCACAGCUGUCCUCAGUUACAGCAACAGAAGAACGGGGUUAUGGGAAAAAGGAGGGAGAGAAAGAGGUGGAGCUGUCAUUGGGAGUGGGGGUGGGGUGUGUUGAUUGGCUGUUUGUAUCUCUAAUAGUAUAGGAGAAGUCUACUCUGCUUAGUAACAUCACUGUCUCAAUGUCUGUCUAGUCGACUGGUUGAUGAAACGUGGUCUGAUCAGUUUUCAGCUUUGAUGGUUCUGGGAGUGAUGUAAUAGUAGUGGUGAUGAUGACUGCUCCAUAUAUCCCACGAGCUUUGGGGGCCCCCAACCCCCCCCAAAAAUAAAUAUAUACACACGUACUGUAUGUUAUAGUCCCAUGUCAUCCCUGUGUUCUUUACUGACCUCCUUCUUUCUUUCUCUCUUUCUCUCUCUCGCUCUCUCUCUCUCCCUCUCUCUCUCUCUGCAUCUCUCUCUCUCUCUCUCUCCUCUCUCUCUCUAAACAGGUAAGGGAAAAGAGGACGUUUCUGAACUCAGACAUCAUCACAACUCCCAACAGCCGCUUUCUCUACCAUCUCUUCGUUUUAUUGUCUUUCGUCCUCCUUCUCUACCAUCUCUUUCUCCCUACUUUUCCCUCUCUCCUCCUCCUCCUCCUCCUCCCCACUCUCACCCAUCUCUUCUAUUUCCCCCCUCUCUUUCCCUCCUUCCCUCUCUUUCUCUCGUUCUCCCUGUCGUCCUAAAGCAGCACGCCUUGCUGUGGCUGGUCAAACGGAACCAAGUCAGGUGUUUCAGUGAGGUUUGGUCCCCUUCAACCAGCUACUGCGUCGUGAACUCAGUCAGCAGACAGACAGACAGACAGACAGACACCCGCAGCGGGAACGAAAGACAGAGUAGCCCUACUGCUGCAUGUUUUUGUGUCUACAUAAAUCAGGCGUUAAUGUGUUCUGUGUCUACAUAAAUCAGGUGUUAAUGUGUUCUGUGUCUACAUAAAUCAGGUGUUAAUGUGUUCUGUGUCUACAUAAAUCAGGUGUUAAUGUGUUCUGUGUCUACAUAAAUCAGGUGUUAAUGUGUUCUGUGUCUAC
rnacentral:lncRNA from 1 species